UUUGGCCCUGCUGCGCUGAGCUUCCUGCACGGGCAGCACUUCCUGUCCUGCAGGGGGCAGCACUUCCUGUCCUGCAGGAACACAGCACAGAUUUGCUUGGUGCCCUCUCUCCUGUGUCCUUUGAUAGAAUCUCAAGGAGGGAGACAGUGGCAGCCAGACACUUGAAGGGAAAGAGAUUCUGUGGAAAGAUGUCCCAGAACCAGUCUUUAGUGACACUGGAUGAAAAGAUACAAGCUUUAGGUUGGAAGCUUGGAAAUCAGCCAUUUCCAAUUUGCUUCAGAAUCCCACAGCAAACAAACAGCUCCCAUAGAAAGCUGGCUGCAUAUCCAUGAGUCCGCAGCUAUCUCAAAACAAAACUAAACAAAACACUUCUCCAAUAUCCACAUUUAACUGUGCAUCAAGUUUUCUCCAGCCAACAAGACAUCCCGCUCCUUGGUUCCCAGAUUACUGCUCCAAAUGCUUAAUGCUCCAGACUUAAUUUGGGUUUUUCUUAGUGUCUAUAGAAUGUGUAUAUUUAAGGAUGGGAAUAUAGCCUGGUGACAGAAUGCUUGCCCAGGCUAUAUGAGGCCCAAGGUUUAAACUCAUUCUCUCUUCUCUCUUCUCUGUCUCUCUUUUCUUUCUUCUCUCUUCCCUCUUCUCCCCCCCCCCCCCCGUCUCUGUCUGUCUCACUUUCUCAUCCUUCACUAAAGUUAUAUAUAUAUUAGGCAUGGCUGAGUUAUGCUACCAUAACAGUGCUU
rnacentral:lncRNA from 1 species